GCGACAUCAGUUUAGUGAGAUUA
rnacentral:rRNA from 2 species